AUUGAACGCUGGCGGCAGGCCUAACACAUGCAAGUCGAGCGGAUGAAGGGAGCUUGCUCCUGGAUUCAGCGGCGGACGGGUGAGUAAUGCCUAGGAAUCUGCCUGGUAGUGGGGGAUAACGUCCGGAAACGGGCGCUAAUACCGCAUACGUCCUGAGGGAGAAAGUGGGGGAUCUUCGGACCUCACGCUAUCAGAUGAGCCUAGGUCGGAUUAGCUAGUUGGUGGGGUAAAGGCCUACCAAGGCGACGAUCCGUAACUGGUCUGAGAGGAUGAUCAGUCACACUGGAACUGAGACACGGUCCAGACUCCUAAGGGAGGCAGAAGUGGGGAAUAUUGGACAAUGGACGAAAGCCUGAUCCAGCCAUGCCGCGUGUGUGAAGAAGGUCUUCGGAUUGUAAAGCACUUUAAGUUGGGAGGAAGGGCAGUAAGUUAAUACCUUGCUGUUUUGACGUUACCAACAGAAUAAGCACCGGCUAACUUCGUG
rnacentral:rRNA from 1 species